GCAUGCAAGUCAGACGGAAUGUAGCAAUACAUUCAGUGGCGAACGGGUGAGUAACGCGUGGAUAAUCUACCUACGAGAUGGGGAUAACUAUUAGAAAUAGUAGCUAAUACCGAAUAAGGUCAAUUGAGGUGUUAAUUGAUGAAAGGAAGCCUUUAAAGCUUCGCUUGUAGAUGAGUCUGCGUCUUAUUAGCUAGUUGGUGGGAUAAGAGCCUACCAAGGCUAUGAUAAGUAACCGGCCUGAGAGGGUGAUCGGUCACACUGGAACUGAGAUACGGUCCAGACUCCUACGGGAGGCAGCAGCUAAGAAUCUUCCGCAAUGGGCGAAAGCCUGACGGAGCGACACUGCGUGAACGAAGAAGGUCGAAAGAUUGUAAAGUUCUUUUAUAAGUGAGGAAUAAGCUUUGUAGGAAAUGACAAAGUGAUGACGUUAAUUUAUGAAUAAGCCCCGGCUAAUUACGUGCCAGCAGCCGCGGUAAUACGUAAGGGGCGAGCGUUGUUCGGGAUCAUUGGGCGUAAAGGGUGAGUAGGCGGAUAUGCAAGUCUAUGUGUAAAAUACCACAGCUCAACUGUGGAACUAUGCUGGAAACUGCAUGACUAGAGUCUGAUAGGGGAAGUUAGAAUUCCUGGUGUAA
rnacentral:rRNA from 1 species